rnacentral:rRNA from 1 species
GAUUCAUUUUCUCAGUAACGUAGCUAACGCGGUGAAGUUGACCGCCCUGGGGAGUACGGUCGCAAGAUUAAAACUCAAAGGAAUUGACGGGGACCCGCACAAGCGGUGGAUGAUGUGGAUUAAUUCGAUGCAACGCGAAAAACCUUACCUACCCUUGACAUGCCACUAACGAAGCAGAGAUGCAUUAGGUGCCCGAAAGGGAAAGUGGACACAGGUGCUGCAUGGCUGUCGUCAGCUCGUGUCGUGAGAUGUUGGGUUAAGUCCCGCAACGAGCGCAACCCUUGUCUCUAGUUGCUACGCAAGAGCACUCUAGAGAGACUGCCGGUGACAAACCGGAGGAAGGUGGGGAUGACGUCAAGUCCUCAUGGCCCUUAUGGGUAGGGCUUCACACGUCAUACAAUGGUGCGUACAGAGGGUUGCCAACCCGCGAGGGGGAGCUAAUCCCAGAAAACGCAUCGUAGUCCGGAUCGUAGUCUGCAACUCGACUACGUGAAGCUGGAAUCGCUAGUAAUCGCGGAUCAGCAUGCCGCGGUGAAUACGUU